rnacentral:rRNA from 1 species
UAAGACAGAGGGUGCAAACGUUGCUCGGAAUUACUGGGCGUAAAGCGCGUGUAGGCGGCUCGUUAAGUCGGGUGUGAAAUCCCUCGGCUCAACCGAGGAAGUGCAUUCGAUACUGGCGAGCUCGAGUACCGGAGAGGGUCGUGGAAUUCCUGGUGUAGAGGUGAAAUUCGUAGAUAUCAGGAGGAACACCGGCGGCGAAGGCGGCGACCUGGACGAGUACUGACGCUCAGACGCGAAAGCGUGGGGAGCAAACA